UACAGAGACUGCAAGCGUUAUUCGGAUUCACUGGGCGUAAAGGGUGCGCAGGCGGCCGUGUGUGUCAGGGGUGAAAGCCCGGGGCUUAACCCCGGAAUUGCGCCUGAAACUACAUGGCUAGAGCAUUGGAGAGGGUAGCGGAAUUCACGGUGUAGCAGUGAAAUGCGCAGAUAUCGUGAGGAACACCAGAGGCGAAGGCGGCUACCUGGACAAUUGCUGACGCUCAGGCACGAAAGCGUGGGGAGCAAAAGGG
rnacentral:rRNA from 1 species